rnacentral:rRNA from 1 species
ACGAACGCUGGCGGCGUGCCUAAUACAUGCAAGUCGAGCGGAAUGAUGAAGAAGCUUGCUUCUUCUGAUUUUAGCGGCGGACGGGUGAGCAACACGUGGGCAACCUACCUUGUAGAUUGGGAUAACUCCGGGAAACCGGGGCUAAUACCGAAUAAUCCAUUUUGCUUCAUGGCGAGAUGUUGAAAGACGGUUUCGGCUGUCACUACAAGAUGGGCCCGCGGCGCAUUAGCUAGUUGGUAGGGUAAUGGCCUACCAAGGCGACGAUGCGUAGCCGACCUGAGAGGGUGAUCGGCCACACUGGGACUGAGACACGGCCCAGACUCCUACGGGAGGCAGCAGUAGGGAAUCUUCCACAAUGGACGAAAGUCUGAUGGAGCAACGCCGCGUGAGUGAAGAAGGUUUUCGGAUCGUAAAACUCUGUUGUAAGGGAAGAACACGUACGAGAGUAACUGCUCGUACCUUGACGGUACCUUAUUAGAAAGCCACGGCUAACUACGUG